rnacentral:rRNA from 1 species
UAUGUGAUCGUCUCUCGCAUAUCAAUAAGCGGAGGAAAAGAAACUAACAAGGAUUCCCCUAGUAACGGCGAGUGAAGCGGGAAGAGCUCAAAUUUGAAAUCUUAAAGGGUUUCCCUUUACGAAUUGUAGUUUAAAGAAGUGUUUUCUGUUGAGGUUUUGGUAAAAGUUCUUUGGAAUAGGACAUCAUAGAGGGUGAGAAUCCCGUAUUUGACCUUUACUUUCAACUUUGUGAUACACUUUCAAAGAGUCGGAUUGUUUGGGAAUGCAGUCCAAAAUGGGUGGUAAAUUUCAUCUAAAGCUAAAUAUUGGCGAGAGACCGAUAGCGAACAAGUACCGUGAGGGAAAGAUGAAAAGAACUUUGAAAAGAGAGUUAAACAGUACGUGAAAUUGUCAAAAGGGAAGCGUUUGACACCAGUGUUGUUUUUCUGAAAAUCAAUUAAAGAACUGUUUAUGCUAAGUUGUUUAGACUUUAUCAGCUAUCUGUUUAGUUUUGAGCUUUUCUUUAAUGCACUUUUCAGUCAACAAGUCAACAUCAAUUUCUUUUGCUGUAAAAAAGCUUGAGGAAGGUGGCUUGAGAUUCGUCUUAAGUGUUUAUAGCCUCUUGCCUAUGCAGUCGGAGAGAUUGAGGUCUGCAGCGUAGAUCCUUCGGGGCUAAAUGCAUUUGUGCUAAGUUAUAGCAUUUUAUAGACAACUUGUUGACUAUGAUUUGUCUUGUAGCUUACUCGCUUAUGUUAUGUUACCUACGCUUAGGAUGUUGAUAUGCAUGACUGAUAU